CUUCCAACAGAGCUGGUUCAAAAAAUGUUUUGUCUUCAUGGCAUUUUGUCUUCCCUGCUGAGGAUCUACUCAUCUUGAAGAAGCAAAGGCUGUAAAACACUUGUUUCCUUCAUUGCAACACUUCGAUGGAUCUAACCCGGGACCUUGCACUUGUGAGGCAAGCGGUGGAAACACUGAGCUAAAUCCCCAGCCCAGGAUUGAAACUUUAUGUCAGGCAUCUUUGGCCUCACGCGCAUUACUAAGCCUUUCCACAGAUGGAAGCUCACAGGCCAGCUCAGAAGAUGUUCUUACAACUCUUACCGUCCAGGACUAAGAAGCUCCCACUUGCUCAGCUUCCUCCGGCUACUCCCAACCUUCUCUCCUUUAUUUCCAAGAUCUACACUAGCAGGUGGGAUGAGUAUUGCUUUUCAAAGGCGUGGCCAG
rnacentral:lncRNA from 1 species